CCUUCCUUAACCUGUUACCUGUCAGAUGCUUGUUCAAGGCAAGGAGAAAAGCACCUAACUCGCACCUAACUCACAUCUCUACUCCCUUAGCUCUUGCCUUCUACUCUUGGCAGCCUCUGGAUGAUCCCCAUCACUACCGCAGCCUCCCCUUAUCAAAUGCACCCAGGUCAGGGUCUCUUGGGAUACAAUGUGCCUGUCUGUCACCUCUUUAAAAGUCCCAGAGUCACUUCCUGAGUAUAGCGGUACAUGCCUUUAAUCUCAGCAUUUGAGAGAUAGGUAGGCAGAUCUCUGUUAGUAUGAGGCUAGCCUGGUCUACAUAGGGAAGGGGGCAUAUUCAGUGUCCCCAGCAAGGGAGAUAAAGAGAUACACAAAGCCUAGUUGAGCUCUGGACUGAAGAUGGCCUCUAGUCUAAUAGAUGAUGUGGGAGGUAGGGAAGGAUGGGGCAGGGAGCAUUCUUAGGGAGAGGAUGUGGUUCUCCUUGGGUGUCCCAUUGUCCCUGCCCUGGGUGGGGGGUCCUUUUGAUCUCUAGUACAGCCUGGCGAGGCCCCUCCCUUCUCUGCAGAGUAGCAGGCAUCUGGGGUGCACCUGUGCCCGUGUUUGUGUGGAUCCAAGCCUCCUGUCUUCCUGCUGUGCCUGUCUGGGUAGUGAGGGGUGUUUAUAUACAGAAGCCUUGGAUUGUUUGGGUGUGCUCUGGUGGUGGAGUGUGCUGUAGGGGCCCAGUGCCUGCGACUACCAUUGUCUGCUUCUGCCUGCCACUGGGCCUAUGGGUCUGGGUGCCCAGCUGUCUGCAGGGCUGUGGAAGUGUGGGAGGGGAGGCACUCAAGCCCACCAGCCCCUGCCCUUCUCCUUACUCUGCCUGCCAGACUGAGUUCUCAUCACCUAGCAACUGGGGACUCUAGUCAGUGGCAGCCUCUCAGACAAAAAAAAAAAAAAAAAGGUGGUUUCUUGAGGGGAGAGCUUGGAGCUUGGAGGGGGAGGGGAACAUGGAGAGGUGGAGGAGGGGCAUUGUGGAAAUCCCAUUUCAGCUCAGCAGACCCCUCAUCUGUCUGCUGCUCAGUCUUCUGUGUAAACCCUUCCUCAUUUGGGCUUCCCAGGUGGGCAGACGGUAGCUGAGGUCCCAAGUCCUCAGGCGUGCUUACUUCCCACAGAAGCUGCUCCCACCAACUGAGGAGCCCCUGUGGGCUUCCAUGAACCUUAUUUGGCUGGGGUGAAGACAAGAUGGCAGCAUGGGUGUGAACCACUGGGUGUCAUCUGGUUGGCCUUAGAGUAUAAGGCCUUAGACCCUCAGAUCCAGGUCGGCUUUGGAGCACAUUCAGAAGAGGGCAGACCCGCAGGGUGUGGAGGUUUUUGCUUUAUUUCUCCCUCCAGGAUUAGGACUGCCUUCCCUGGAAGCCAGCACCAAGCAGAAGAGGGUCAGUGCUCUCAGGAGCGGGAAAGGGACAAUGCAAGGGCCUCCUCAUGGUUCUUCAUUCAUUGCCCAUUACUUUCCUCUGGAACUCAAGUCUCCUCUCCGAUAUUUUCCUGUUCCCAUGGCGAUCCAAACCAACAAACGGUCUAGCCUCGGGUCUAUUCUGGCUGCCCCAGGAACGCCCCCUCCUGCCCGGUGCGCCUUGUGACUACCUUGCUUGGUUGGUGGUACUUAUUCCUCUCUGAGCGAUCCUACCGCUCAGUGGCUUCGUAGUUCUCCACCCCACCAGCAGAACAGCCCCGGGAUCUAAGAAUAACCAGACUCAUUUAGCACUUACUGCGUGCCAAGCUCCGUGCUGAGUCCUUGGAGUGUUUCAGCUCACUCUGCACUGGAGCAAGCAGACAGCAAGGAGGAAGCAGCGACUCCAUUUUACACUGGAGGCGGAAGGGCUGAGUGCCAGGCCCAUGGCUGCAGAGGAUGCCUGACCCCUCGUGUAGACCACAGGGGGCAGAACUGAAGAUCCUCUGGACACAACACGGUCACUCCAAGUGCUGCCUGGCUUUGGGGUAAGGUCCCCGCUUUUCCCAUGAGCUCGUGGAGGCUGGAGGAGGGGAGCUGUGCUGCUCAGCUUCACGGUUAUGGACGGCACACGCUGAGCCCCAGGCUGUGCCCCAUCUCCUCCACACCCCAGUGGGCAGAGGGCAGCAUUAGUGGUUUGGAUGCUAGGCAGCGGAGUCCAUGUCUGUCUCUGCCACUGACUUCCUUUGAUCAUUUUUAUUCUCGAUAACAAGCAGAGCCGAGCUUUACCCAACACUUACCAGCCGCAUCUCAUUAAUCUUGCAAUAACCCCAUGAGCCAGGUCACGCUAGAUUGAUUGCAGAAAUAGAUCCAAUCAAUGCCUCA